rnacentral:rRNA from 1 species
AAUACGUAGGGGGCGAGCGUUGUCCGGAAUGACUGGGCGUAAAGGGCGUGUAGGCGGCGCCGUAAGUCUGGAGUGAAAGUCCUGUUUUCAAGGGGGGAAUUGCUUUGGAUACUGCGGAGCUUGAGUGCGGAAGAGGUAAGUGGAAUUCCCAGUGUAGCGGUGAAAUGCGUAGAGAUUGGGAGGAACACCAGUGGCGAAGGCGACUUACUGGGCCGUAACUGACGCUGAGGCGCGAAAGCGUGGGGAGCGAACAGGAUUAGAUUCCCUGGUAGUCCACGCGGUAAACGAUGAAUGCUAGGUGUUGCGGGUAUCGACCCCUGCAGUGCCGGAGUCAACACAAUAAGCAUUCCGCCUGGGGAGUACGGCCGCAAGGUUGAAACUCAAAGGAAUUGACGGGG